AACGAACGCUGGCGGCGUGGAUAAGACAUGCAAGUCGAACGAUCAUCACGGGGUAGCAAUAUCUUGUGGUGGGAGUGGCGCAAGGGUGCGUAACACGUGGGUAAUCUGCCGCGAAGACUGGGAUAAUCCCGAGAAAUCGGGACUAAUACCGGAUGUGAAUACGAGGAGCAUCCUUUUGUAUUCGAAGCUGGGGACUGUAACAGGCCUGGCACUUCGCGAUGAGCCCGCGGCCUAUCAGCUAGUUGGUGAGGUAACGCUCACCAAGGCUAAGACGGGUAGCUGGUCUGAGAGGACGACCAGCCACACUGGAACUGAGACACGGUCCAGACACCUACGGGUGGCAGCAGUCG
rnacentral:rRNA from 1 species